rnacentral:lncRNA from 1 species
UGUUAUAGAAUGCAGGUCAAGGAACAGUAUAAAGACUUACUAGUAUGAUAUGUGUCGAUUUCAUUAUAAAAAUGUUCUAUGUUGAAUAUCAGAGUAUUGCUUACACUCAUUCGAUGUCAGAUAAAUGACAGUAGUAUCAUAGGAGCAUUUCAUCCACUUAUAGCCUGCAAUACUAAUGUCAGGAUGCAGGCCUUCUGAUUUCUCAUCUCCCAUUUCUUUGUUAAAUAUUAAUAUGUUAAUUUAUAUGGCCACCGCUUGCCAUGAGAUCUCAAGCUUCAUCACGCCGCCCAUCAAAAUGAAAUGAUACUACUUAAGCCUUCAUCUAGGAAAUAGCUUAUGGACUCUAAUUCUUCACCACCUUUCUGGGAAGGCUCUUAUUUAAAUAUUGUGGUUGUAGUUUUAUAGGUAGAGGAUAAGAAGCCAAGGAAAUAGCAGCUGUAGAAUAUUGUAUUCAACAGAGUUGCAUUAAUUCACCCACAAGGAUUUUCUAUUGUCAGACUUAGGGUUGCAGAAGGCUACGUAUGAGUAAAACAAGUGACCUGUGUGGAUCUUCUGCUAUGGGCAGGCACAGGCUUCCCAUAUGCCUCUUAUCUCGGCGGCCUUGAGCUUCAUCCAGUUUUUCUCAGUAAAUAUUUGCUCUUAAUAAUGUAUUAUUUCUAUGAAUAACUAUAUAAGAUUUUAGUCUUUAGAAGUUAGCGUGCUUGGUUCUUAUGAUCUAACUAGUUCUUGGAUUCAAUCACUGUAUGGCUUUUCACUAGCUUUUAUUUUGACUAUUUAAUACAAAUACUAAAAAUAUUCCAUUGUUUCUUAUUCUCUACCGAUAAAACUACAACCACAACAGUUAGACAAUUCAAAUCAUUAUUUAAUCCAAAUCAUUUUUUAGACCAUUGUAUGAUAUUUGUAUGUGUAUGAAUCAGCUCUUCUCCAUCCUGGAAUACUAUGUAUUUGCCUGUUUCCAACAGCACAUAUGUUUCCUAAUUAUGAUAACUAAAACACUUUAAGUGCUAUAAAAUGUAUGCAUACC